GUACAGAGAAGCGGGCAGACGUCUGCCAUCUGCCUGAACCAAGACGCCAGCUUUGAGACAUUUAACCAGCAAAAGGUCGCCAUACGAGAGCCACCACCGGUCAUUCUUCAGCCAUAUGAGGAGCCUGACGUCUGUAACGCUAACACACCACCAUUUGCUGAAAUCAAGAGUGGAAGAAAGAAAGAAUCAAGAAGGAAGAAGACGAAGAAGCACCACCGGAAGCUGAAUCUGUCACUUUGGCGACGUGAGGCACG